AACGAACGCUGGCGGCAUGCCUAACACAUGCAAGUCGAACGAGACCUUCGGGUCUAGUGGCGCACGGGUGCGUAACGCGUGGGAACCUGCCCUUAGGUUCGGAAUAACUCCCCGAAAGGGGUGCUAAUACCGGAUAAUGUCUUCGGACCAAAGAUUUAUCGCCUUUGGAUGGGCCCGCGUUGGAUUAGCUAGUUGGUAGGGUAAAAGCCUACCAAGGCGACGAUCCAUAGCUGGUCUGAGAGGAUGAUCAGCCACACUGGGACUGAGACACGGCCCAGACUCCUACGGGAGGCAGCAGUGGGGGAUAUUGGACAAUGGGCGAAAGCCUGAUCCAGCAAUGCCGCGUGAGUGAUGAAGGCCUUAGAGUUGUAAAGCUCUUUUACCCGGGAUGAUAAUGACAGUACCGGGUGAAUAAGCUCCGGCUAACUCCGUG
rnacentral:rRNA from 1 species